rnacentral:rRNA from 1 species
GAUGAACGCUGGCGGCGUGCCUAAUACAUGCAAGUCGAGCGAACAGACGAGGAGCUUGCUCCUCUGACGUUAGCGGCGGACGGGUGAGUAACACGUGGAUAACCUACCUAUAAGACUGGGAUAACUUCGGGAAACCUUAGCUAAUACCGGAUAAUAUAUUGAACCGCAUUGUUCAAUAGUUAAAGACGUUUUUUCUGUCACUUAUAGAUUGAUCCGCGCCGCAUUAGCUAGUUGGUAAGGUAACGGCUUACCAAGGCCACGAUGCGUAGCCGACCUGAGAGGGUGAUCGGACACACGGGAACUGAGACACGGUCCAGACUACUACGGGAGGCAGCAGUAGGGAAUAUGCCGCAAUGGGCGAAAGCAUGACGGAGCAACGCCGCGUGAGAGAUGAAGGUCUUCGGAUCGUAAAACUCUGUUAUUAGGGAAGAAAAAAUGUGUAAGUAACUAUGCACGUCUUGACGGUACCUAAUCAGAAAGCCACGGCUAACUACGUG